rnacentral:lncRNA from 1 species
UCCCUGGGGAAUGUAAAUGCAGCCCAAUUUUAAACGUUAAUUUAGGUGCUUAACAUAAGAGGGCACUGUCUCUGGGUUCUCUGUGUAGGUAAUGAACAGGUGACUCUGAGCUGCCUUUUGCAGAAGCUUUUCAAGUAAACUUCUGCUCUGAUUCACCUUCUGGAAGAGUUUUCCUGCGGACUGGAGAGGAGGUCUGAAUUAGGUCUCAACCAGAUGAACCAGGUGCUCUUCGAUCUCUGAGCCUUCUAAUGAUCUUGCAAUGAUACUGACUCUUUUGUCUCCCGGUUGGAAGAAUCGUCCGUUUGCCUUGCAGCAGGAGAAGAGUUCGGUUCUAAAUUUGGGAUGACUUGUUCAAAAGCUACUUUCGUUUCACCUCUGAGCUACAGUCUGCCCUUUAAAUUCUGAACAUUUAUUUUGAUUUUUGUGAAGACUGAAUGUCUUCUGACAUGAGGAAGAGGGUCAUAUAUGAGCAUUAAUUAAAUUAAAUUGUAUCUGGGAAGUUUAGUCUUGUUUAAUGGCUUUGUUCAGUUAUUCUACCUGUUCAUUAUCUUUACAUAAACAUUAAAAUCAUACAAUCAUUAAAUUUUCUCUUCUAAAAUAAAGGAAAUUCUUAUAAGAAAU